rnacentral:lncRNA from 1 species
CAGGAGGUCUGGGAGAAAGAGAAGUCCUGUUCACAUCAUGCUUAGUUGUACGUUUCAACAGAACCUCCAGGUAUAGACUGUUAUGGAUUUAAUGUUUAAUAAUUAAUAAUUCUAAUAAUAAUAGUAAGUAUCCAGCAUGGACAUAGGGCCUUGAAGUUUGCAAAGGACUGUAUGGACACUAUUUCAUUUGAUCUAAGACUUAAUUUCCCAUCACUUAGCAGUAGUUAGAGCUACCUCUAACUAGCCACCAAAGUGUGAUCGCAGAGAAUUGGGGGAGUUCCUGCUUUGAGUGAGUUCCUCCAACUCGGACUAGGAGUCAGGCUGGCGCCGUGUACUAGCUCCCAAUGCUAGCACUGCCACUCACUAUCUGUGUGCUCUGGGAUGAGCCCAUCCCCUUCUCUGAGCCUCAGUUUCUACAUCUUUGAAAUGGAGAGGCUAGACUAGGUGGCGUCCAAGUUCCCUCCCAGCUCCAAAUAUAGGCGCUGUAUCCCUGUGCCUCUGGGCCCUGGGUUGGCUUCCAGCAAUGCCAGCCACCUGGAUUCCUUCCUCUGGCACUUAGCUGCAGAAGACUCCCCCACCUCCAACACACAUACACAGUCAGAACAGUGUUCCACCCCUGCCACAGGUUAAUCAGCUGACCCACAUGUACAAUGCCGCCCAAACCUCUUCUUCAGCGCUACAUCCCCAUUGGAGCUCAGAGUUGGAAUGAGCCUUCCAGUAGCUGCCCUGACAGAGGGACCUGGACUCAAUCUCUGAGAGCUGGGCUUCACCUCUGCUGCCUAAGGACCUUCAUCCUGGACGCCCCAGGGAAGUUUCAGGGCCUUCCCCUUUGAAUUCAGAUGGGCUGCUAACCUUGGAGGAACUAGAUCUACUCCUGCCUACCAUGGCCAUACUCCAAACCCUAAAAAACUCCCUGGAAAUUUUCACCAAGAGAAUUAGACUGCCCAGACUGCCCAGGUACUGGAUUGGAGGAAGGAGCCAAGAAAUUUGUAUGGACUCAUCCUAAAUUUGCCUGAAGUAACCAAUAUGAACAACUCACAUUGGCCUAGGCAAAAGAGGGUAUCUAAAGUUCCUGAGGAGACCCCUUUAGUGGAGAUUCAGCCUGUCAGGCCCCAUCGAAGGAGAAGGAAAGCUUGAAAGGCAUUGAGGCAUUCUGGCUCUGGGAUUGUGAAUGAUCUGGACAGUUCCCCACAGGCUAAGGAUGUUUUAGCCCUGGAGAUUUUGUGCUGAAAAGGCUUCACCUUUAGAAUCAAGUACUUCUUAAUUCAGCAGUUCAAAACCUGGCACUAUUUCCUGCUCUAAAUAGUAAAAUAAAGAUUUUUGUCCACGUAUGCCCUUUUCUUUU